UUGGCAUCAAGAGGUGCUUAGAUCACAUCUAGUUUCCUGCUUGAUCAUUCAAGUACCAAACGCCAGGUCAUUAGACUGGCUCAUACAGUGCUAUUAUUUUUUCAAGACUUUAUACAUUUGAGUUCUAGGAUGGAUAUGAAUAGGAACAAACCUUAAUUAUGGUGCUACCUUUUUCAUAUGUCAUUGGGAAGGCAGAGCCACUUGCAGCACAUUUGGCUUUCUCCCAUUCAUGUGUCCUGAGCCCAUUGUACAUUUCCAGCACAUCUGCUUCUUGACAAGGGUCAUUCAGGUUCUCAGAGAACUUAUGACUUCUCAUUGCAUUGGCCAAGACAGGCUCCAAUCCAGGGCUAAAAGAGGGGUUAAAAAGUUCAUUUUAAAAUGGAAGCGCCAGAUACAAAGGAGAAGCAUCAAGAAUAAAGGGAUAUUCAUAAAGAAUAACUAAUAAUAAUCUGGAAAUAGUUUAUGAAUUGCCAUAUAAUUCACAAGACACAGCCUCCACUCUGUAUUUCCCAACCCUAAACUGAUAUCUGCCUGACCAGGGAGCAUCCGGGUGUGCCAGAUUCCGUCUGGAAAAGUAUCACCCUCACAGUGAUAUUCCACAAGUGGGAGCUGGCAUGAUCUAAACAGCACUUGGGUUUUGUCUUGAGAGCUUGCCUCUUUCAUCUGCACUUGGGUAGUGGGACAGGCACAGAGCUGCCAUUGUCACCCAUCUCACUGCAGCCAGUAGUACACAUACCCCAUGGAGACUGAGAAUCUGGGGAGGGGACACUUUGGCUGCCAAGGUGGCAUAGAGGGGUUACAGCAUUGGGAGAAGGAUCAGACUCUUUGUAGAAAGAUAAGCUCUGGAAGAAAUAUUUACAAAUCCCCUACUUUUGCUCUAAGACUCUUUUUUUCUUUCUCCACUUUUCACAUUCUUCCUCCUUCUGAUGAAACUUCUGCGCCGAUCAUUCUGGAAAGCUCCAUGAAACAGAUUCAUGGACAAAAUAAAUAUCACCAACCAGCCAAUGAUGCACAGGACACUCCCAUUCCAGAAGUUAAGAGACAGUCCCAGCUUCUCACCAAUCUAUUCUGCAAGGCUAGCUCACAGGACAGUUAUUGUUCCAGAUGUAUUUAUGGCCUUGCAAUGUUGUGAUGUUGCUGCCGCCAAAUGCAGUGUUAUUACAUUGUGGAUUUCUUGUUUCACAGGUUGAAUACACAAGGCACUUGAUGGGAUUCAUUUAGAUACUGAAGGGAUUCGCUAGCCCCAAUAUUUCUACUUAGGAGGAAGGUAAUGUGUGUUACAAACUAUGGUCUGAUCCAGCACCCACUGAAGUCAAUAUCAAAAUUCCCAUUGACUUUGAUAAGAGCUGGUUCAGUCCAAUGUGUCAAAACCUUGGGUAAUAAACAUCUUUUGAUGGACA
rnacentral:lncRNA from 1 species